ACAGCAUGGCGGUUACACAACGAGGGCGAGAGUUUAUCGCGCGUGGAUGGAUCUGCUGUACGCGAAGCUUCCGCACACCAUCGCUGGAUUUAAACCAGGAUGUUGGGGAUUGUUGUCCUGGUGGAAGCUAUAAUUACCGUGAUGUUUUGUGAUACUGUGGUGUUUCCAUCUCCAAACCUAACUGCAGGUAUAGUAUUCUAGUAGUCUUAUGCAAAUUAAAAAGAUUUUCUAAAUCCUGUCUAACCAGACUAAAUUCUCUCAGUAUUCCACAUGCGUCUCCCAAUAUUCUGCAGCUAAAGUCAAAAGAAUUUCAUCAUGCCUUUCUUCAGUAAUGGACCUUCCAGGGUAAAUGGAGACCAUAGCGGUAAAGAUCACUGUCUGUUGUGACAAAUAUAUCUGCUGUUUCCAGGUCUUUCUAGGAAACUUCUACUCCCUUCUAGUUUUGUAAAUAGUUUUUCACUCUAUCCAAUCAUGAGAUGUUUCAUCCACUGCUUAACAAGUGAUUUGUUUGCUUGUGUUUAGUGAUGAGUUUCUUUUUUUCACAGAGUCAAAGUAUGAACUUACCAACACCCACUUAUCCAACGUGACCUUAACUGGAACAGGUAAGAGAACUACUGAGUAAUAUUACAUUUGUGAGAACUUUUUACAAUUUUAACCUGAUGAUUUUCCCCAAAAAAUUAAACCAAUUCUUUCACACUAUUCUUCACAAUUCACUGAUCAUGUGUGUGAACGUGCUUUGCUGUUUCUACUGUGUUGGAACAAGUGCAAUAAAAAAAAAUGUAACAAAAAAAUGUUAUCAUGAGAGUUUCUGAAUAAUUAAAGAAAUAAAUCAGAACAAAAUA